rnacentral:rRNA from 1 species
UACGGAGGGGGCUAGCGUUGUUCGGAAUUACUGGGCGUAAAGCGCACGUAGGCGGACUGGAAAGUCAGGGGUGAAAUCCCGGGGCUCAACCCCGGAACUGCCUUUGAAACUCCCAGUCUUGAGGUCGAGAGAGGUGAGUGGAAUUCCUAGUGUAGAGGUGAAAUUCGUAGAUAUUAGGAAGAACACCAGUGGCGAAGGCGGCUCACUGGAUCGGUACUGACGCUGAGGUGCGAAAGCGUGGGGAGCAAACAGG